rnacentral:lncRNA from 1 species
GGAGGCGGCACUGCCCUGCGUCAUGAGAGUUGGGGCGGCGGUUACGUGACUAUAUGCCUUCAUCAGAACUCAUCAAAUUGUGCACUUAAAACACUGGGGGACCUUUCCUUUUAUAGGUUACUGCUCGAUAAGGCUACAGAAAAUUAACGGACACGUUUAAAUUUGCCGUGACACUGCACAGGGGUCAACGUUGUCCACCUGCACGAGUGAGGCAAGACGGCUGGGGCGGCCCUGACUCGUGCUUUCUGGAAGCCUGGUGUGAAGGGGACCAGGGCCGAGGGCCGAGGCGGGGAGUGCAGAGGACCUGGCCCCAUUAAAGGCCUGCUGGGGACGGCGGGGGAUCUCCUGGUGGCUCUUGGGUUAAGUGUCUCCCUCUUGGUUUCGGCUCAGGUCGCGAUCUCACGGUUCGUGGGUUCAGGCCCCGCGUCGGGCUCCGCGCUGGCAAUGCGGAGCCUGCUUGUGAUUCUCUCUCUCCCUCUCCGCCCCUCCCUCUCCACCCCUCCCCUGCUCCCUCUCUCUGUCUUGCUUGAAAUGAAUAAAUAAACUUAAAAACGAUUUUUUAAAUAAAAAAUAAAUGACCGCUGGAAGGUUCUGGAUGAGAGAAGGGGGUGGGGGAAGAGGGAGACGUUCAAGUGUGGGAGGGGGCGACAGGCGCAGGGAGGGCGGGAGGGGCGGACAGGAUGCUCACCUGGGGCCCCCCGGGGAGUGCCGUCUGUGCUCUCCUUGUCCCCUGGAGUGUCUCCUGCGCUGAAACCUUUGUCUGAUGCUAACACAGCGAGCUAUCAUUUCCAUCUUGCUACUUUCACACUGUCUGUGUCUCUGUAUGUAAAGAGGAUUCCUUGCAGACACAAAUAGCCGUAUCCUUCUGGCCAAUCUGAACAGCUCUGCCUUUUAAUUGCACCGUUCCGUCGCUUUAUUGUGGA